UUAUAUGUUCUCUAGGGUUCCGCAGCUGUUAUGCUGGUCUGGUCCGAGGGAGAACGCACGGAGUGAACCAUAGCCGUGUAUACACGGAGGGAUAAAAGCCCGGGAGGU
rnacentral:sRNA from 2 species